CCAACUUAGUUAUAGCUGGUUGCCUAAGAAAUGAAUAGAAGUUCAGCCUCGCACUCCUCAACUCACAAACACAUUAUUUUGACACGAAUUAGAGAAACAUGCGAGAGUUAGUCAAAGGGGGUACAGCCCCUUUGAAACAGAAUACAACCUCACCAGGAGGUUAAAGAUUAUAUUAACCAAGAUAUACCGCUUUAGUGGGCCUAAAAGCAGCCAUCUAAAUAGAAAGCGUUAAAGCUCCUGCGGACCAAAAAUCUAUUAUCUAAAUAUUCCAUCUAAAACCCCUAAUUCUAUUAGGCCAUUCCAUGCCCACAUGGAAAAGAUACUGCUAAAAUGAGUAAUAAGAAGGAAUACCCUUCUCCUUAAGCCUACGUGUAUGCUAGACCGGACCACCCACUAGCAAUUACCGAACCCAACAAAAGAGGGCAAUGUGGCCUUAAUAAAUACCAAGAAACACCCACAACCCAAAUCGUUAAUCCCACACCGGAAGGCCUGUUUCUAAAGGAAAGACUAAAAGAAGAGGAAGGAACUCGGCAAACAUAAGCCUCGCCUGUUUACCAAAAACAUCGCCUCCUGCAAAAACCAAUAUAUAGGAGGUCUUGCCUGCCCAGUGACUAGU
rnacentral:rRNA from 1 species